rnacentral:rRNA from 1 species
UACGAAGGGUGCAAGCGUUACUCGGAAUUACUGGGCGUAAAGCGUGCGCAGGCGGUUUUGUAAGUCAGAUGUGAAAUCCCCCGGGCUUAACCUGGGAACUGCGUUUGAAACUACAAGGCUAGAGUGUGGCAGAGGGGGGUGGAAUUCCACGGUGUAGCAGUGAAAUGCGUAGAGAUGUGGAGGAACACCGAUGGCGAAGGCAGCCCCCUGGGUUAACACUGACGCUCAGGCACGAAAGCGUGGGGAGCAAACAGG